rnacentral:rRNA from 1 species
CUGGCUCAGGAUGAACGCUAGCUACAGGCUUAACACAUGCAAGUCGCGGGGCAGCAUGGUGAUUGCUUGCAAUUACUGAUGGCGACCGGCGCACGGGUGAGUAACGCG